AGAUUUUGCAAUGAGGAUGAAAAAGCUCCCUCUUCUGAAAUGAAAAGUUGAGGAAAUUUGCUGGCGGAAUCGAACCUAAAACUCUAAACGCCACCACUGAGUAA